CAAACCUCCCCAAGCAGGGCUCUGACUCUUGGAGAAAUUCUAGUCAGAAGCCCACCAGUGUAAUAAACUGCCUCCUAAACCUGCUCGGUGCCGUUUCCUCUGUUUUCUGCAACAGGAAGUUUCCUUAACUCCAAAGGUGUGAAGACUUUGAAGGAGGAGGGCCCGGGUCCCAGAGACACCGUGGAGUGGAAGGCCUGGACUGCCGGAUGGUCUGGGCCCCAAAGGAAGUGCACUGCAGUCUUCUCUGCCGUCUUUCCCAGUGCUGUGUCUCCCUGCAGGGUUGUCUGCUGUCAGUGCCGCUUCAAGAGAAACACAGGCGUCUGGGGCAUCGAGUGAAGCUGACUCUCCCUCGCCUGUCCAGGGCCCUGUCAUGGAGGACAGGCAGAGAAACAUGAGUCUCUGGCUUGAGAUUUCUGCAAAUCUUCCAUAGCAAUAAAGUCAAG
rnacentral:lncRNA from 1 species